GCCGAGCCCAGAGUCACCGGUUACACCCAAUGGUGGAUUGGUGCUAAUGGAACUCGGAGAGAAAAUUCUUUCUUAUGCCCUGAAUAUGGUAUUAUACAUAUUUCAGGCACCAGUAAAGAUACAUUA